rfam:Strongyloides papillosus strain LIN genome assembly, scaffold: SPAL_contig0002641
GGGGACUUAACUCAGCGGUAGAGUGCUCGCUUUGCAUGCGAGAAGUCGCGUGUUCGAUUCCCGCAGUCUCCA